rnacentral:rRNA from 1 species
UAGGGAAUCUUCGGCAAUGGACGAAAGUCUGACCGAGCAACGCCGCGUGAGUGAAGAAGGUUUUCGGAUCGUAAAACUCUGUUGUUAGAGAAGAACAAGGACGUUAGUAACUGAACGUCCCCUGACGGUAUCUAACCAGAAAGCCACGGCUAACUACGUGCCAGCAGCCGCGGUAAUACGUAGGUGGCAAGCGUUGUCCGGAUUUAUUGGGCGUAAAGCGAGCGCAGGCGGUUUCUUAAGUCUGAUGUGAAAGCCCCCGGCUCAACCGGGGAGGGUCAUUGGAAACUGGGAGACUUGAGUGCAGAAGAGGAGGGUAGAUUUCCAUGAGUAGCGGUGAAAUGCGUAGAUAUAUGGAGGAACACCAGUGGCGAAGGCGGCUCGCUGGUCUGUAACUGACGCUGAGGCUCGAAGGCGUGGGGAGCAAACAGG